AGGGCAGUGAUGAGAAGCGCAGGGGUACGGACCUCAGCUGAUGAUGGGAGCUGAGUGUUGGUCCUAUCCCAGAUUAGUAGGCAUGUGGUCAACUGUCUGGGAGGUGCCAACAUGAAACAGUCGCUUUACUGAGCCCU
ensembl:snoRNA Small nucleolar RNA SNORD94